UACGUAGGGUGCGAGCGUUAAUCGGAAUUACUGGGCGUAAAGGGUGCGCAGGCGGAGGUGCAAGUCAGCGGUCAAAUUGCGGGGCUCAACCCCGUACUGCCGUUGAAACUGCAUCCCUUGAGUGCGCGAGAAGUAUGCGGAAUGCGUGGUGUAGCGGUGAAAUGCAUAGAUAUCACGCAGAACUCCGAUUGCGAAGGCAGCAUACCGGCGCCCGACUGACGCUGAAGCACGAAAGCGUGGGUAUCGAACAGG
rnacentral:rRNA from 1 species